rnacentral:lncRNA from 1 species
CAGUUCCCACAUCAAACAAACCAAAACUUAAAUCACUUUCUCCACCACCACUUCAUUUCACUUUCGUGUUUUCUUUUGUUAUUAUUGAGCAAUAACCUAGAAAGGUUUGAAUCGAGGACGGGUUUUACGAUUUGGUGGCUUUGUUAAUUAAACUGGUAUCCAUCUAACUCUCCCCCCUCUCUCUCUCCUCUCUCUCUCUCUCUCUACUUGAGUUGAUUCCACUAUGCAGCAUAGUUUGACAAUUUCUUUCUUUCGUAGUACUUAGUAGUUGAUCUCCCAUUUAUUGCUUGCACCGUGGUAGCUAUUUGGGCAUGUUAGUGUUUUGGUUGAUUUGUGUUGUUCAACUUGAUUUGAUUGGAUGUAUAAAUUGACAUAAUUCUCAUGAUAUUUAUAUAUUUCAAUAUCUUAAAAAAAAAGAAUAAAAAAUUAUCCAGAGGUGAAAAUUAUUGCAAUCCAUUUGUUGGAAGUGCAUGAUUUAAUAAAUUUUGUAACCAAAUUAAGUCCUCUGAUUUGAACAAUAAAAACAUUUGUGUACACAAAAUUACCCUUGUUUUGUAUGACAAAUAUAUGUGUUUAUUAACUGUCCAACCAAAAAAUUCCAACACAUCAUCAUUUGCUCUAUCGCCACUGCAACCCUAGUGUUGACACAUAAAUUAUACUGUUUAAAAGAUUUAAUUUCAGAAUCAUCUCUCUUGCCACCAUCUGACAUCUAAAUUUCAAUAUUGAAAAUUGAAAAAACCUAGGCUUUUGUUUUAUGGAUUAACUGAUGAUUUAAAAAUUACAAUAUUUAAUCAAGAUAUCACGAUUAUGAGUAAUAUUGAACAAUUCAGACAUAAAAAGAUGCAAAUCAAUCAACCAAAAAGAACACAAGAAAUUUUACUAGAGCUGCAAAAAUGGGCCGGGCCCACGAAACCGCCGGAUCGCCGGACCGGUACUGUAGUAGUAGGGUUAGUCCGACCGUUAGAAGCCCGCCCGGACCGAAACCCAUUAAUAUUAGCACGGGCUGGCCAGCAUUUUGAAGCCGGCCCCGCUUUAAAAGGCCCCGGCCCAUAAAGGCCGUUAUUGAGCCCGAACCGACCCGCCAUCUUGGGCCCGUAAGCCCAAACCGUUAGCCGUUACUGUAGCAAAAUUUUUGAGGUAGAAACUAGGAUUCGACUCAAGACCUCCUCUCGCCAAACGCGCACAAUCAAAGCAUUUAUUGGUUAUAUAUACUUAUAUUAUUUAUAAACUAUAUCCAUAGUUAAUUAAAAAAAAAUGAAAAUUGUGUUGCUGGGGUAAUCGAACUAAAGGACCCCCAGGACAAAAUACGAGUUGACGACCACUUGGACCAAACACCAUUUUGCUUAUUAUUUGUUCAUGUAUAAUUAUAAAAUACUCCAUUCAUAGUUAAAAAAACAAAUAAAACGCUUUGCUUGGAAUCGAAAUAACCCCUCCACUAACAAAUCAAAGACACUAAACCACUCAACAACCAAGUCAUUCAUAAUAAAAAAUAGAAUCAUUUAAUAUAUAAACACUAGACACGGAGCUGGGCCAAAACCGGGCUGGGCUAAACCCGGACUGGUACUGUAGCACCCGGUACUGGAGCAGUCCGGGAUUAAUGGGUAGGACUGGGUAGCGCUUCGAACUAACGUUCGGCUAAACCCAGACUGGUACUGUAGCGGGUUGGAUUCGCCCGACCCGUAGCCGGUGGGGCCGUUAUGUAGCGGGUGGGUAAGCCAACCCGACCCAAUUUGCAGCUCUAAUUUUACCAUGGAACCUUUGAAUGGGAGAAAAAUCACGUGUUCACUCUCGGACAAAGAUUCAUGCACUAUAACUCGAGGUUCAGACGGUUACAAGACUCUUACAACCAAAACCUAUCAACUCCAUGAUCUAAUGAGUGUGUACAUCUACUCGUAUCACGAUCACCGUCUCGUGCUUGUCACCGUUUCAAAUCAUUAAACGGAUUUCACAUAUUGAACCCUUCAGAAUUUCGCGUUCACCGUUCAAUCCCCUUAGAAAGGAUUUAUACAUUGAACUCCUUCAAGGAUUCGAUUUUUUUCAAUAUGGUUGAUGAAAAUCUUUGCUAAGAUUCGUUCUGAGCUUUCAGAAGGUAGAUAACAUUUUUCUCUAGGUAAUAAAGAUAUAUACAGCUCUCCUUAGAUCUUGGGAAGUGUUGUGGCAUUUUAUAAUAAGAGAAAACCUAAAAAAUGCAGAAUUUGACGUUGCAAUUUUUCGUGUCUCACGGGUCUCUCGUGGGACUCUCGAUCCCACGAGGAUCCCACGAAAUACCCGCGAGGUCUGUGGCAAAAUAACAACUCUCAGCAUCUUCCCGCGACGGUCCCACGACGAUCCACCGAUAGUCCAGCGAGAUCUAUCAGCUCUAAGUUAUUUUGACCAUAACUUCUUACUCUGUAUCCGAUUGAGCGAUUUUUAAUGUGUUAAAAAUAGACAUCAGGGCUACCAUUUUGUCUCUAAUAAUCGUUGACUGAAUCGAUAUCUAAGAUGGACAAAAUCACGCUUG